rnacentral:lncRNA from 1 species
AUUUUUAAUUUAUACUUAAAUAACCUGAUACUGCUUUUAGAUGAACUGGAUACAAGCCUAAGAAGAUGCCUGUCUGAAAAAGAGCCAAGUGAGGUCAGAACAGAGCCAGGUUGUAGGCCUAAACUAAGGUGAAGAUGCCAAGGCACACGGAAGUUAAGUAAGUUACUAAAGUGAGCUAAAAGCAAACCUGGAACUAAACCUCAAGCCGCCUGACAACCAAUUUUAUACUCCAAUAUUUUUAAGCAAACAGAAAACGCAACAACUGAUAUUGACUUACCGUUAUGGUACAAAAAAAGAACUCCCCAAAAUGAUACAGAUUACUCACAAACCAAUGCCUCAAAUCCAAGUUAUUUGCAAA